rnacentral:rRNA from 1 species
UACGUAGGUGGCAAGCGUUGUCCGGAAUUAUUGGGCGUAAAGCGCGCGCAGGCGGUCCUUUAAGUCUGAUGUGAAAGCCCACGGCUCAACCGUGGAGGGUCAUUGGAAACUGGGGGACUUGAGUGCAGGAGAGAAGAGUGGAAUUCCACGUGUAGCGGUGAAAUGCGUAGAGAUGUGGAGGACCACCAGUGGUGUAGACGGCUCUCUGGACCGCCACUGACGCUGAGACACGAAAGCGUGGGUAGCAAACAGG